rnacentral:lncRNA from 1 species
GGACAUAGUCGUAACAUAACUGCAGAGACAUAUUCACAAAGAAGUGUUUACAAAAUUCGAGUUGUUGUGGAAAGAUUAUUACAUAAUUAGAAAAGAUAUCAUAAAUAGUCUAAGAAAGAAGAAAUUCAUGAUAUAUAUGAUGUUCUCUCUGCACAGUAAUACUAGCUCCUCUUGUUGUUCAUGAUAUUCAUGUAUGGACAUGACUAAAAU